UUGCUCGGUUAUGUUGAAAACAAGUGAUCUCUUCAACUGUAGUUGAGCAGACUAGGGAUGUGAGGUUAAAUCUGUUUUCUCUUUCCCCACCCCAGCUCCACGGCCGUAAUAAUAAUGGUUCAUCUGGCAAAUCCUCCAGUGACAGCGACUAAUAAAUGUUUUGUGAAGAAGCUAUGGAAGUUCAGACUGUACUGUUACACGUGUGAAAUGGCUGAAGUUAAUCUAGAUGAGGAGGAGACUGUGUUACUGUGUGAGGAAGCAGAGGGAAAAAUGCUGCAACAGCUAUCCCCUGGUCUGCAUAGCUGUGAAACCAAGAAGAGUCCAGGGUAGGACUCCUGCGCUCCCAUCAGACUGUAGGUACUACCAGAAGUGCUGGCUGCACUUAGCCAGAAAAUAAAGACCAUUUGCUUUCUGCCAGAAACCUCCCAUGGUGCUCCAGCUUUCUCUGGCCUCCACUUUAGAGGUUUGUAAUAGACACCGCCUUUAGGCCCACAGUGGUAGACAUUGCAGGUGACAGCCCCCCUCCCACCAAGCGGCAUUGAAAUUCUUGAACCAAACUACCUUCCAGAACCAGAUGUCUUUUAAUGAAUCCUCUACAGUGCUGGUUUCAAAUCCCAGUAACACAGAGACUGGAGUACAGAGCUUUGUUACUGGAGGACAGUCUUACUUAUUUUGUUUCGAUUGAAGAAAAUAUUAGACUGCCUGGAGGGCUCAAAAAUAAUUCUUAGAGCUCUGAAUGUGGAUGCCAGUUUCCAGUGUCUUCACAGUAAUUUAACUUCACAGCACUUUGAGAGGACAUGAUCUGAAGGAAGACCAGGAACCAAAUAAUAGGGCCAGAU
rnacentral:lncRNA from 1 species